UCGAAAAGAAAGAGCAAACGAGAACUCAGUUUGCUCUGAAGUUUGAUGGAAGCUUUUGAUCAAUCUAAAAGGAAAAGAAAGGUUGUGUGAUCGUUGUUCCAAGAAGUUUUGUGGUCAUAGGAGGGUUUACUAGAGGCAGUAAGGGUCAACUUUGAGCAUGCUUCACAUAGGUAUUGCUGCCAACAUCUCCUCAUGGACUUGAAGAAGGCUUUUCCUAGAGUGAUGCUAAGGAGGGAGUUUUGGAUGGCAGCAAAGGCCACGUUCAGUUAUGCUUUCAUACAACAAAUGAAAGUUAUAGCUGAAAAGAAUGAAGGCAGGGCAACAUAAUGUUUAUUGGACAUCCCUGUAAGUCAUUGGGCAAGACAUGCUUUUCCGCCAAAAGCAAAGAGUGCACGCUGCACUAAUAAUAUGUCUGAGAGUUUCAACAAUUUUCUUGACAAAUUAAGGACCAAACCAAUUGUGGAUUUAAUUGAUGCUAUACGACAGAAGUGCAUUGUCCUUUUACACAAGAGGUUGCAAGAGCAGCUACAUGGCAAGGAAGAGUUACACCACAAUGCAAGGAAAGCCUAAACAAGAAGAUCAAAGAAAGUAGGGUGUGUAGGAUGUUGUCAUCCAAUUCAGAAGAGUUUGAGGUGCUAGAAGGACCUAUUGCAUUUGCUGUGGAUUUGAAGCAGACGACUUGCACUUGCAAUUGGUGGGCAAUAUCUGGCCUUCCUUGCAAGCAUGAUUGCCUUGCAAUUGCAUAUAAGAGGUAUAAUAUUGAAGAUUUUUUUCAUAAGUAUUUCACAAUUAAAAGGUACAUUAAGACCUAUUUUGGAGUUAUACAUCCAAUACCAUAUUAUGACCUUCCUCUUGAUACUUAAUUUCCCAAUCUCAAACCACCACCACUAAAGAGAAAAGUUGGGAGGCCUAGAGAAAGGAGAAAUCUACAGGAGGGUGAGAAAAAUCCAAGUAAUGCAAAGUGGUCCUGCACUGUUAGGUGGUGCAUUUGCAAGCAGCUUGGACAUAAUAAAAGAACUUGUGAAAAUGGCCCACCUCCAAACUCUCAGAAAAACAAAAAGAAGAAGUGAUAGACGAAUGAAGUUUCUGGCGGAGCAUAUGAUGAUGCAUAGAAGUUAAACUUUUCUUUUUGGAUACAGAUUAGAUAGGCUGUUGUUUUGCCUUUUUGUAGUUGACAGCAAAAUAUUAUGAAAUUGCUGCUCUUUUGUUCUUGGAAUGCAUUCAGCUACAGGGUGAUACUUUGGUGUUCAACUAUUAUAGUAAAUUGCUGCUCUUUUUUUGGUAUUGUGACAACAAAUUGAUGAUCAUAUUGAGU